rnacentral:sRNA from 1 species
UGUGUGUGUGUGUACAUAUACAUAUAGAGUACACACACAUAUUACAGUAACAUUUUAACCUGCUGGAAAUCAAUACAUAAAAGGUAUGUACAAAGGAGAAGGAAAAGAAUUUAGGGACUCUCUGCUUCUGAUCAUAACUGAUUCCAUUGCUAAACUUUAUUAAAAAAUAUCUGAGUAUCCCAUCCAUUCUUAUCAGACCUUGAGAGGCCCAGUGACACAGGCAGCUUUGGUCAGCGUUGUGGCUAGACUGAACAACUAUACAGAAUUCUGGAAACUGAAGUCUUUUGGAAAGAAAGACAAAGCAAUUGCCUGCCUACCUAGUUUGUGGAGGCCGUAUUCAUUCUCUUUCAACCAUAAGACCCCAAAAUGCACAUCAAAUUUCACUGUAAUGUGUAUGACUCAUGUGUUCCUGAAUGAAUUCAAGCCUCAGUCCCACACAUAGACCCAGUGUGAGAGAGUCUGGCCUGGCUCCUCUUGCAAAGCUUGUGCUCAGGAGCCUCUGACUAUGACUUGAGCAUGUAGCUGGUAAUAGCUCUUGAGACUAGACAACCGGGACUCCUCAAACAGCAUGGUGUGUAUGUCAGGGAGUGAUGUAGCCUGGGCCAGUUUCCUGCCCUUCUGGAGUUAUUAUUAUAGAUGUUCCAUUUUAACUAUCUGCAGAAGAAUUCUUCAGAGGCUGUGGAGAUGGCUCAGUGGUAAAGUGUUUGACACACAAGCACAAGAAAUGUGAGUUCUGAUUCUCAGAACCCAAUAAAGCUGAAUGCUGCAGAGCAGGGUGGAGUUAAUACAGGAAAUUGGUUACCAAGAAACUCAAAGGUUGAAGGAAAGCAAGACACAACAAAGAAAAGACAGAUCACCCAUGGCUGAGAGCAGUGACCUCACCAGAGUCUGGGGGACAGAAGGGAGUUGCCCGAGCUGCCAAAGCCCAAGAAAUCAGAGCCUUAAAGGACACUCGAAGAACAUUAAAAUGCUGUGACCACUUCUAAGCAGAGACUACGGUGCCUGGCAGAGUUCUUAGAAUUUAGUGGAUUUUCAACAUAGGCUUAUAUUUAACGAAUUAAUAAUGAAAGGCUUGAUUCUUCUGACAUCUUCCUUUAUGGUAAAGACAGUGAAUGGAAAAUCAGAGCUGAAGAAGAGGAGAUGCUUUUCAACGGACCUCUCAUUUGAAGUCCAGUGAGCACACAAUCAAGCGUUGGUCUUGCCAUCUCCGUUUCCGAGACUUGCCAGGUAUUUCCUGGGCUGUCAGCUGUUAGCUGGAGUGUGUGCAGGUGGGUGCUUAGCAAGCAUUUCUCGUCCUUUCUCUUAGUUCCAACGUUUGUUUAUGUUUCCUUAUCUCUUUCAUCCAAGGUGAACCUGAACUGAGAGGCAGCAUUUAUAAAAGAGCUGCCAGCUUGCACACAGGAAUUCUCUCACAUUCGUGCUUGCCUGGUUUUCUUCACCCAAAGCACAAAGACGUGCUGUUGAACACGCGUUGUUCUUUUCUCCUUGAAUACUAGAAAGAGAGGAUUCUUGGAUAUUUACCCAAAGUUUUGUCGCACUGAGAAGACUCUGUGGAGGAGACACGGCAGGGAAGCAGUUCUGGCGUAAAGAAGUAAAAAGGUUUCCCUCUUAGCUUUAUAAUAAGUAACUUCCUUACCCCUGUCUGGAAGCUUGUACACUGUAGACAAAAAGCUGCAAAGAACAAAAGGCGACCAGUUCACUCAAUGGAGUUCUCUGUACAGGUCAAGGAAAUGCCAAACUUAACAGAUGUCUUUGACUGUGCCCUGCAGGUCGAUAAAUCCGUUUUUGUUGAACCAGGAAGAGGAAGGAAUUUCAGAACUUCAGGUCCCCAAAUGGAAAUGCCCCUUAGGACAAGUCUAAACUAGGGAAAUAGCACUGGAGAGCCUCCAAGUCAGUUGGCCCAGUCUCCUGUAACUCAUUUCUGGGCCCCCUGAAGCUGUUUGUUUAACUCUGCCUCUACAAUUGCUGUUGUGUCAAAGGGAGUUAAUCAUUAGCAAGUGUGAACACUGUUGGUAGAAAACACAGCGAUUGCAGUUCUCCAUUCUGACAUAAUUUUAACUAUUUUUCAGAAUUAAGAGAAAAGGAACACUGGGUGAAAGUAGGGUAGAAUUUGGGGAGCUGUUAAUUCACUUUCCAGCUUUGACAAUUGCCAUGGAGAGAGUCAUGUAGUUUUCUGCACAUGAUGCUCCCUUGCCCACUGCCUCAGGGUAGUUUCUUCCCUCCAUGGUCAGUUUAGGGUGGCUAAUCUCCAGAAAUCUAGAUGUCAGAAAAUGAUCUGAAGGUUCAGGUAUAGGGACCUCUGCACUGUCAGAGCCACCAAUGAUACUGGAGCAAUAAUACAGACUGAGUUAGGGCACAGAGCUCCAUAGCCUUCCUGGGCUAAUAAUCCUCCCAGGCUAAUAGUCCUCUCGGGCUGGGAAUCACAACUCUUCUAUGAAUCACACCACAGGAGCCCUGGGAUUGGGGUUGGUGCAUAAAGUAACAUUCCAGCAGCUGCAGAAGAAUAAAUACAUGAGCUGCCAGGAAUUCAGCAGCCAUCCAGGGCUGCUGCCCCAGGCUCAGAAUCCCACUACUUGACAGGCUGAGGCAAGAAGGCUGCAAGUUUAGCAUCAAUCUUGACACAUCCAGACCAUGUCUCAAAAAUUUUAAAAAGUGAAAUGAAAAUGUUGGAGAGGUUGGGGAAGCUGCAGCUGUAGCUCGGUGGUAGCAUAUCUGACUGGCAUGCAGGAAGUCCUGUGUUCAAUCCCCCGAAGCACAUACCGCAUGCAUACACACAAAGACGUAUGCAUGCUCGCACGCGCACAGGCACGGACGCAUGCACGUGUACGCUCUCCUAGAGUUAUUCAAAUGGUCUCUAGUUUGAGAAUCUCAAGGAGACACCUAAACACGUUCUCGACAGUAGCAGCCACAGCCAAGACUCCGAAGAGCCUCUGAAAACCAGUACACAUUACCACAAGACUUUGGAAAUUGUCCCAUGGAUGGACAUAGACAAACCUCACUGCUUCUGGACCGCAGCUCUUCCAAUGAUGCCCUCUCCAGCUCACUCACUGCUGCUCCUCAUCUCCUUGGGCAACUUUUACAAGUGAAGGCAGAGACACCAAAGCCCAUGUCCUAAGGUCUCCAAUUCUCUCUCUCUUCCCUUUGUAAUUCCUCCCUCAGACUCCUUUUGUUAAUAUUUAUGUUCUCAGGCUUAGUCUAGAGAUACUCUCUACUUUAAAAUGAAAAUGGAGGGGUGUAGCUCAGAGGUUGAAAACAGACCCUCAUAUUGACCCUGAUACUCCCCGCUCUGCGAGGCCUGUGUGUGGCCUGGCGAUGCAUCCAGCCCGGUCCUCCAGGUGGCCUGUGCUCUGCCUCCAAAGACUGCAUCCAUGACUCAGCUCCAGAGGCUCUGCAGACCACAGCACAGUUUCGUGUGUCACAGACCUGCACACCUUUUGGCUCCUCUACAGGGUUUUCUGUCUGGGGCACCCUUUACUCAAUGGCAAGGUUUCCAUUCUCUUUGGCUGUCCUUGGGAUACUGGUCAUUUAUUCUCACUCUCCACGUCUUCUCCUCUACCCCGCAAUUUUGAAUGAAAUGAUUCUCUUCUGGACUCCAAAGGCGCCUGCCUGUUGUGUAGUGAAGGAUUUAGCCAGCUGUAUCGGGAGCGCGUGCUCAUCCUAGAUCCUUUCAUAGAAUAUGUGUCUCAGUGCAGGCAGAGCCCACGUUAUUUCAUUCCAGUGUCCCUGAUCUUUAGCACAUUAAUAAUGAGUCAUAUAGUAGCUUGUUAAAGUGCCCAGAGCGGGUGGGCUAGGCAAGUUCUAAUGUCUGUGUUUGUGUAAAUAACUUGAUUUUAAAUGCCUGGUUAGGUGUGGUGGUUUGAAUGAGAUGUCCCCAACAAGCCACCAGCUUUGAAUACUUGGUCCAGAGUUGGUUGCUGUCUUGGAGAGGGUGAGAAGGUGUGAUCUUAAUAAAGGAAGUGUAUCACUGGGGGUGGGCUUUGAGAUUUUGAAGACCCACAUACCAUCUCUACUGAGAACUCCCGAUUUCCUUUUUGUGGUUGGGAAUGCGGGCUCUCAGCUGAUGCUGCAGCUGCCUCCUGCACACAUAGUGCACUUACAGAAUCAGGAGAGAAUGCCUCAGGACUGGCAGUGUGGUUACAGUCACUUCGCAGGAAGAACGACAUACAGACACCUAGAACUGAAUGUAUUAUUGACUUCAUUGUAUUUUCCUGGGUGUCAGUCUCCACUUGAAAUCAUUGCUCUUUAGGGAGAAGGGAUAUUUUGUUUUGAAGAUUAGUUGGAGUGAAAGAAGAGGAGAGAUGGGUGAAAUGAUGAGAAGAAAAGAACAAGUACCUAUGACAUUGAACAAGAACAUUAUAAACCAGACCUGAUGACACAGAAAUAAGUCAUAGGGGAUGCUCCCCCUAUCAUGAAAUUGAUUUGUGCUUUUAGUAUUGUGGAGCAAAGAGACAGCUGAGGUUUACUCUGAAAUCAAUUUAUUAUUAUUAGCUUUUAAUUCUGGAGAAAUUUGGUAAUGGAAGGAUUUCUCUUCUUACACUUGAAGAGGAUAUUUGAGAGCCUUUUUAUGAGUAUCUCUUAAUAGGGUGCCAUCACUUGGGUCAGGAGGAAGAGAAACAAAUGUCCCCACUGGCCUUUCCUUUUAUGGAAACAGGCAUGUGUGGCUCAUUUCAACAUGUCAGUUGUACAUCUGGUAGCUCUAGAAGCUGAAUUCCAUGUCUAAUUCCUGGGAGAACACUGGGAAGGAGCAAUGAAAUGGAGAGACUAACUUCCAAGCACAGGUUUCAAAGAAGCAGUGCACACUGGGAAGUUGAAAUUGUUCAUUUACAGAAGGCACAGCAAGGUGGCCUGCAAAUGUAAGUGCUCCUCUGCAUUGUGUCUCUUUAAGAGAGUUAUUUUAUUCUGUGUAUAUGUGCCUGCAUGAGCUUAUAUGUAUCACAUGCUUUUGGGUGCUGCAGAAGCUAGGUGAGGAUUAUAGAGACUCUAGAGCUGUAGUUAAUCGAGGAUUGCGAGCUGUCCAGUGUGGGUGCUGGGAACCAGUCCCUGGUCCUAUACAAGAGCAGUGGGUGCUUGUAGCCACUGUGCUAUCCUGCCUCUGUUUUUGUUUUUGUUGUUUUUUGUUUGUUUGUUUGUUUGUUUGAGGCGGAGUUUCUUUGUAUAACCCAGGCUGGCCUUGAUUGAACUCCUGGUGAUUCUCCUUCCUCAAUCUCCUCCUGAGUUCCAGUAUUAAAGGCAUUAUCAUAGUUGGGCUUUUUUUUUUUUUUUUUUUUUUAAGGUUUACUAGAUGAUACCACUAAGAACAAGAUGAGAACACAUGGGUCUGGAUAGUCAAAUAAAGGUUGUAGAUCUACAUUUUUGAGGGAAGCUUACUGAUCUAGGCUUGAAGAGGGGUGUGGUGGUUUGAAUAUGCUUGGCCCAGGCAUUGGCACUAUUAGGAAGUGUGACUUUAUUGAAGGAAGUGUGUCACCGAGAGGGUGGGCUUUUAAACCCUCCUCCUGGCUUCCUGGAUGACAGCUUCCGCUAUGGAACAAGAUGUAGA